rnacentral:rRNA from 1 species
UACGUAGGGGGCAAGCGUUGUCCGGAUUUAUUGGGCGUAAAGAGCGUGUAGGCGGCCAGGUAGGUCUGCUGUGAAAACUCGAGGCUCAACCUCGAGACGCCGGCGGAAACCAUCUGGCUAGAGUCCGGAAGAGGAGAGUGGAAUUCCUGGUGUAGCGGUGAAAUGCGCAGAUAUCAGGAAGAACACCAGUGGCGAAGGCGGCCGCCUGGGCCAGUCCUGACGCUGAGCCGCGAAAGCGUGGGGAGCGAUCCGG